rnacentral:rRNA from 1 species
GGAAGUAAAAGUCGUAACAAGGUCUCCGUUGGUGAACCAGCGGAGGGAUCAUUACUGAGUUACCGCUCUAUAACCCUUUGUGAACAUACCUAACCGUUGCUUCGGCGGGCAGGGGAAGCCUCUCGCGGGCCUCCCCUCCCGGCGCCGGCCCCCACCACGGGGACGGGGCGCCCGCCGGAGGAAACCAAACUCUAUUUACACGACGUCUCUUCUGAGUGGCACAAGCAAAUAAUUAAAACUUUUAACAACGGAUCUCUUGGUUCUGGCAUCGAUGAAGAACGCAGCGAAAUGCGAUAAGUAAUGUGAAUUGCAGAAUUCAGUGAAUCAUCGAAUCUUUGAACGCACAUUGCGCUCGCCAGCAUUCUGGCGAGCAUGCCUGUUCGAGCGUCAUUUCAACCCUCAAGCACCGCUUGGUUUUGGGGCCCCACGGCACACGUGGGCCCUUAAAGGUAGUGGCGGACCCUCCCGGAGCCUCCUUUGCGUAGUAACUAACGUCUCGCACUGGGAUUCGGAGGGACUCUUGCCGUAAAACCCCCAAAUUUUUUACAGGUUGACCUCGGAUCAGGUAGGAAU